rnacentral:rRNA from 1 species
AUGAACGCUGGCGGCGUGCCUAAUACAUGCAAGUAGAACGCUGAAGGAGGAGCUUGCUUCUCUGGAUGAGUUGCGAACGGGUGAGUAACGCGUAGGUAACCUGCCUGGUAGCGGGGGAUAACUAUUGGAAACGAUAGCUAAUACCGCAUAAGAGCAGUUGUUGCAUGACAGCUGUUUAAAAGGUGCAAUUGCACCACUACCAGAUGGACCUGCGUUGUAUUAGCUAGUUGGUGAGGUAACGGCUCACCAAGGCAACGAUACAUAGCCGACCUGAGAGGGUGAUCGGCCACACUGGGACUGAGACACGGCCCAGACUCCUACGGGAGGCAGCAGUAGGGAAUCUUCGGCAAUGGGGGCAACCCUGACCGAGCAACGCCGCGUGAGUGAAGAAGGUUUUCGGAUCGUAAAGCUCUGUUGUAAGAGAAGAACGAGUGUGAGAGUGGAAAGUUCACGCUGUGACGGUAUCUUACCAGAAAGGGACGGCUAACUACGUGCCAGCAGCCGCGGUAAUACGUAGGUCCCGAGCGUUAUCCGGAUUUAUUGGGCGUAAAGCGAGCGCAGGCGGUUAGAUCAGUCUGAAGUUAAAGGCUGUGGUGCUAGGUGUUGGGUCCUUUCCGGGAUUCAGUGCCGCAGCUAACGCAUUAAGCACUCCGCCUGGGGAGUACGACCGCAAGGUUGAAACUCAAAGGAAUUGACGGGGGCCCGCACAAGCGGUGGAGCAUG